AAAUAUUCAAAAUCUGUAAAUCUUAUUUUAAUCAUAUGAGAACAUUUUUCGCACGUUUUCCAUUUGUAUCAUUUUUACAAAGCUAUCAAUGAAAUGUAGGAAUUGAAUUAACUAUUUAGGAGCACUUCUAGUCAAGAAACACAAACAUCUGAAAUGUGUUAUACUUCGUUUACAUUUUUCCUGUGAAUUUCCAGUUUGCCAAACUGUGUAGAAUUUAGAGUGCCCCAGAAUUGGCUGCAACAAAAGUGGAGGGAUUAAGUAAGCGGCGGCAGAACAAACCGUUUUACAUGGCAAUUAUGUAGGAACAAGCCUGGCGCCUGACCCCUAAAUUUGGGCCGGCAGGAGCCGUGUAGAACUAAACCCGUUUCAGUGGCCAAUUCAAGGAUGAAGCAUCAAAUAUCCCGGGCUGUCAAAAGUAUUUGUCGAGAGAUUUUCGGCUCCACUAUGGAUGGGCUCCGAUCGCCGGCUCUUUUUACCUUCGGCGCGUUAUUAGACUUUUUGUGCGCCACUUAAAGCAAGUCCCUUUCCGAAUUACGGAUUUCGUAUUUCGCAUUCAGAGUGCCAUUCGCCAGCGAAUCGCACACCUCCGCCAUAUUCCAUAUGCCACACCUUCACUUGCACAGUCACGCAAUUCAUCGGCUGCGGAUCCGGAUCCGGGUCGGAGUACGGGGUCUCUGGGUACGGGUGUGAGUGCUACGGUACUGCGGCAUUAUUGCCUGUUGCUUUUGCCAGUGGCAAAUGGCACUGCCGCACCACAGCUGAUGUGGUCGGCCGUAAACAUGCGGCAGCGGAUGAGUGGGCGUGGGACUCCGCCGGAGUGCGGACUCCGUGUUCCACACUCCACUCCACUCCGCGCCACUCGACAGUAACGGGUAGUCGUCGUCGUCACACACAAGUAAUUGCAAUCAGCACCUUGGCAACAAGCAGCUGGGCCAAAGUAAUAUAAAAAAAAAGAAAACUGGGCCACUGACGAAUUUAUUUAUAAGGCAAUCCGUAACUCACAGUGCGUGCUGCCGUAUAUCUUAACACCUGAAUGCCAAACGAACUCUUGGAACUCAGGCCAAGCGAGUGGAUUUAAAUUUAUUGUGUUUAAUGGUCAUCUGCCUGCAAUUUAUAUGCUUAUUUUGAGUUCUUUAUUAUAAUUUCUUUGGCGCACAGAACUAAAGGUCGUAAAAAUGAUAGAGGUGAUACUUUUAAAAUACAAAUUGCAUUAAUAUAUUACGAGGAAGUGAGAAAACUUAUA